UCACAUUCGUAGUUUUUACUUUCGAGUUUUCUCCCUUAGGUAGUUUGAUCCUUUAAAUUUUGUGAGCACGUUUUUAGUUUUGGUGUAAGGGAUGUUAUUCAAAUUUUGACUUCGCUUCCGCAUUUGAUAUUUUUAAUAUACAUUCCAUUAUAAAUUUCCGGGGCUGCUACAAUAUGAUUGUGGAAUUGGAAUCUUUUAG
rnacentral:lncRNA from 1 species